rnacentral:rRNA from 1 species
AUAUGCUACUUAAGGCACAUGGUGGAUGCCUCGACUUGUAGAGCCGAUGAAGGACGUAGCAGCCUGCGAUAAGCUUCGGGGAGGUGGCAAGCAACCUUUGAUCCGGAGAUGUCCGAAUGGGGAAACCCCAAUAAUUGGAAGAUUAUUGACUGUGCACUGAAUUCAUAGGUGUACGGAGGGAACCAGGGGAAUUGAAACAUCUUAGUACCCUGAGGAAAAGAAAGAAAAAUCGUCAUUUAUGCCAGAACGAUAGAAUAGUCUAUCAGUCUGGUAUAAAUGACUCUAUUCCCUGAGUAGCGGCGAGCGAAAAGGGAUCAGUCUAAACUUCACAAACUGCGUUCCAGAAGCCUUCGGGUGGAUGGGGCUUAAGGGUACACGCCCAUAUGUUCGUGAGGUGUUGUGAGAGAUUAUGUUUAUUCCCGUGUAGUGAAUAAGAUAUGUGAUAUGUGUUUUCCUGCAAAGGAAAGCAUGUGGCCUGCCUAGCAGAAUCUCCUGGAAAGGAGAGCCAAAGAAGGUGAUAGCCCUGUAUACGAAAGGUGUCACACACAUAUGGUAAUUUUCUCAAGUAGGGUAGGACCCGAGAAAUCCUGCCUGAAUCUGCCUCGACUAUUGAGGUAAGACUAAAUACUCUACAAGAUCGAUAGUGAACAAGUACCGUGAGGGAAAGGUGAAAAGCACCCCGGAAGGGGGAUGAAAUAGUAUCUGAAACCAUGUGCUCACAAAGAGCUAGAGCCCUGGCAUUUAUGCCGGGUGAUAGUAUUCCUAUUGAAGAAUGAGCCAACGAGUUAUUUAUUGUCGCAUGUUUAAUCCCGAUAGGGAGUAUGCGUAGCGAAAGCGAGUCUUAACCGGCGAUCGGCACUCAAUAUUUACAGCGCUCUUUAUGGGCCUGUAAGUUUUGAAUGUCCAAGCGGCAAUGAAUAGACCCGAAACCGUGUGAGCUAGCCAUGACCAGGGUGAACCUUGCGUAAAAGCAAGGGGAGGCCCGAACCCACCAGCCGUGCAAAUCUGGGGGAUGAGUUGUGGUUAGAGGUGAAAUGCUAAUCGAACACGGCAAUAGCUGGUUCUCCUCGAAACAGUUUUAGGACUGGCCCUCGAUGUUCCUUUGGGGGGUAGAGCACUGAAUGGAUAAUGGGGCGUUAAGCUACCGUAUCUACUCAAACUCCGAAUACCCAAAGUCAAGAAUCGGGGAGUUAGACCGUGGGGGCUAAGCUUCACUGGUCUAAAGGGAAACAGCCCAGAUCACAAUUUAAGGUCCCUAAAUCUCUUCUAAGUGGGAAAGGUUGUAUGGCGACUGUGACAAUCAGGAGGUUGGCUUAGAAGCAGCCAUCCUUUAAAGAAAGCGUAAUAGCUCACUGAUCAAGUUUCUGUGCGCCGAAAAUGUAACGGGGCUAAGAAGAGUACCGAAAAUGUGAUCCCCCACUUUAGUUUGAGUAAUAUUCCAUCUGUCUUUUUGCGACGGAAAGGUUUCGACUUUUCUUAUCCGCAACAGAUAGUUGGUAGUAAGAGCUCUUAUUUUUUAAUAAGACCUUUUGCACUCAAACUAAAGUGGGGGAGGUAGAGGAGCGUUCUGAUUGCGCUGAAGUCCGACUCGUGAGAGCGGGUGGAGCGAUCAGAAGUGAGAAUGUUGGCAUAAGUAGCAAAAAGACUGGUGAAAAUCCAGUCCACCGAAAACCCAAGGUUUCCUGGGCAACGAUGAUCGACCCAGGGUUAGGCGAUCCUAAGGCGAGGCCGAAAGGCGUAGUCGAUGGAAGAGCAGGUUAAUAUUCCUGCCCUACAUUAGUAUUCCAAUGGAGGGACGGGGUUCUGAAAUUUUUACGUGUUUAUUGGUAUGCACGUUUCUGUUUUGGUUGAGGCUUGUAGGUAAAUCCGCAAGCGGAAUCGACUGGAAUGGGUAAAGGGGAAGCCUUCGGGCGGAACCAAAAAAAAGACAGGAUCUCCCAGAAAAACUUCUAGGGCUAAUACUAGUGUAUCCGUACCGCAAACCAACACAGGUGGGUAGGAUGAGAAUUCUAAGGUGGACGAGAGAACCCUCGUUAAGGAACUCGGCAAAACAGCGGUCGUACGUUCGCAAUAAGGCCUGCCCAGCAUUACGCUGGGCCGCAGCGAAAGACUUCAGGCGACUGUUUACCAAAAACACAGGUCCCUGCUUAAAUCGUAAGAUGACGUAUAGGGGCUGACGUCUGGCCAGUGUCCGAACGUUAAGGUGAGGUGUGCAAGCACUGAACUUAAGCGCGGAUGAACGCCGGCGAUAACUAUAAUCGUCCUAAGGUAGCGAAAUUCCUUGUCGGGUAAGUUCCGACCUGCACGAAUGACGCAACGGUCUGAAGACUGUCUCAACGAGGGACUCGGCGAAAUUGCAAUCUUCGUGAAGAUGCGAAGUACUCACAGUUGGACGAAAAGACCCCGUGAAGCUUUACUACAGCUUGGUAUUGAUAUAUGGCUGUUCAUGUUUAGUAUAGGUGGGAGACUUUGAAGCUUUGGCGCUAGCCGAAGUGGAGUCGCCAGUGAAAUACCACCCUUGACCAAUUUUAUAUCUAACGGUUACCCGUGAAACCGGGAAUCGGACAGUAUCUGGUGGGUAGUUUAACUGGGGCGGUUGCCUCCUAAAAUGUAACGGAGGCGUUUACAAAGGUUGGCUAGCUGCGGAUGGAAAUCGCAGUGGUAGUGCAAACGCAUAAGCCAGCUUUACUGCAAGGGUUACAACCCGCGCAGUUGCGAAAGCAGAAGUUAGUGAUCCGACCGUGCCUUAUAGGCGGCCGGAAGCUCAACGGAUAAAAGUUACUCCGGGGAUAACAGGCUUAUCUCCCCCAAGAGUCCACAUCGACGGGGAGGUUUGGCACCUUAACAUAUCGGGGUGCUAUGGGAGUGAUCCCAUACCAAAAAAUCGGCUAAUAACGGUGAACCCGUAGUUAUGCAAGUGGAAAGUUAAUGCAUAACCGGCAAUACCGUGGGAAGUCCUCUGACAAUAUAUAUUGUUAUGACCCCGUAACGACUGACCCGAAAGGGAAGACUUGCUGAACUAGAAUUGUAAACACUAUACGAUUCUAUGCCCUCACAAAUGAAAUGCAUCAUUUCAUUUGAAGAGGAGGAAUGUACGAAAGCUGGAGUCAUUCGAAUUUAUUCGAAUGCGAAAGCUGAAGUGCUAUUCCGACGAACGCAGCAGGUAAUACGCCGACUCCAAUCACUUGGUUUUUAUACACCAAGACACCUCAAGAAUACGGUUUGCAGUAGUUGCAAAACCUACAGUUCGAGGAUUGGAAGAAGAUAUAGUCUAUACCAUACGAAACUAUGGAAUGAAUAUACGAUGUCGGCUCAUCGCAUCCUGGGGCUGAAGAAGGUCCCAAGGGUUUGGCUGUUCGCCAAUUAAAGCGGUACGCGAGCUGGGUUCAGAACGUCGCGAGACAGUUCGGUCUCCUAUCCACUGUGAGCGUUGAUACUUGAGAGGUCUCUCCUCUAGUACGAGAGGACCGAGGAGAAUGCACCUCUAGUGUGCCGGUUGUUCCACCAGGGGCAUUGCCGGGUAGCUAUGUGCAGUAUAGAUAAACGCUGAAGGCAUCUAAGCGUGAAGCUGUCCUCAAGAUUAGGUAUCGUUAUGAGAUCCCAGAGAGAUUAUCUGGUUGAUAGGCACUAGGUGUAAGCGCAGCAAUGCGUUGAGCCGAGGUGUACUAAUGAUCCAUG